GUCCUGAUAAUGAUCUACUAUUCCUGCUUUGUAAGAUAGAAAACUGUCAAGAACAUUCAAGCAUUUUGUUACUGUACGUGUAAAGAUAUUGUGAAGACCUCUAAACUUCUAAGAUCAUGGUUCUUCUAUUUUAUACUCUAUGUCAGUGCUAUGUUGAAAGCAUUUAAGUUUUGGAUCUUCCUAGGCAAUCUUCCAGCAUUUAACUCCGCCUACCAGACAACCUUAAAAAUUUUUACAUCAUUUUUACUCGUUUGGCUCGUUUACUUCUUUGUCAUCCACUGCCGAGCUAAACGAACCACGAAAUAUAUAGACCUAAGACCACGACAACAGCAACAACAACAACAAAACUUUAUUUCUUUUUCAAUAAUUUACAUGAGUUUUAGGUUAAUGAGUUGCGUUACGUCUAGACUUUAUUAUUAAAACUAAUUAAGUUAGAAACUUAAAAAUAAUGACAGAUGAACCCGCAGGUAGUCUUGGCUAAUCUAGGCGAGCCACAGCUAAGACUUAACGCAUAUAUAGAUUUUUCCUCGUUCUUUCAUCCACUGCCGAACUAGACGAGCCAAACAAGCCACUAAAGUUAUGCACCUUCAAAAUGGGACCCUGUAUUGCGUAGUUGCUCUUUUUUGGAAAAAGCAGUCAGUAAUAAAACGUCUUACUUUUGAAAUAAAGUUUCGAGAUAUGAAAUGAAAUGGUUCUUGUUGCUCGGCACUUUGUUUAGUUAGCUUUUCUGAAUAAGAUUUACUUUACAGUAAUCUGCAGAAGCCGCCUUCUGCAUGAAAUUCAAUUGCCCAUCUAAUAUCAAAAGAAAUAAUGGGAAUAUCACUCCUUUGCAGAUCGUUCAAGGUUACAGUGGUUCCAGGGAUCGCACGCGGGAUCACGCGCAAUUGGCCAGGAACAUUGUGACCGAGUGAGCUUGGGGUCAAGAGGUAGAACAAAGAUGGCGGAAGAUUUGCAGAGGCUGCUCUGAGAAUGUUCGCCUCUUGUCGAGAAAUAACCGAACUCUCGAAGACUUAUGCUUAACAGCAGGUUAAGGUUGCAGAGUUCAGAUCAGAUGAGAAGAAGGCAGAAGAAGAUGAAAAUGUGGCAAGAGCAAGUGAUUUUACAUACCGGUACACUGUAUUAGGACACAGACACAUCUCCACAAAGAGAUCAAACCUAGCCAAGCUUUAGACAGACAAUGGUGAGUUAGCAUUUAAUUUAUCCUUUUACAGUAUUAGCUUGCCACAGUUAUAGUGAUAUAGCAUGUUACACUUGUUGAUCAACGGAAAAGUGCUCACAAGCAUAGUUUGAUAUCAGUUAGCUGAUGAGGUAUUCCUUUAGGCAUAGUAAGGUCAACUUCUGAAGAAAAUGAAAUAUUGUGAAAUAAGUUACGUGCAGUGUAUAUGUAAUCAUGUAAGAUCUAGGGGAUGAUUCUUGUAAAAACCUGUAUAGGUUUACUGUAUUUUCCACACCAAACCAAAAUGAAAUGAAUUGCCAUGCUGCACUGUUGCACCACACUAAGCCACACCUUGCCACGUAAUGCAAUGCAAUGUAAUGCAACAAAACAAAACGCGACACAGUACAACUUGGUUCAGUUGGUUCAUUUAGCUGGCUCACUCAAUUCAUUUGGUUCACUUGGUUAACCUGGCUGGUUCACUUGGCUUGUUUACUUUGUUCACCUGAUUCACUUGCCUAGUUCACCUGGUUCAUCUGGUUCACUUGGCUGGUUUCACUUGGUUCAGUUGGCGGUUCCCCUGGUUCACCUGGUUCACUUGGCUGGUUCAAUUGGUUCACCUGGUUUACUAAAGAAGCCAAGUGCAUCAGGUUAACCAAAUUAACCAGCCAAGUGAACCAGGUUAACCAAGGAGGCAAUGGAGGGUGUAAAGAAGACUCAAUUUGAGCUUGUCCUUAGGGCUAGCUGUAACUAUGAUGUACUAACACUAAAGUCAUUCCCACUAGCACGCUCAAAAUGUUUUAAUAGGUAGGUAAGGUAAAAUCUGCAUACGAGCCAAGUGGCUCC